rnacentral:lncRNA from 1 species
AAGAGUGCUGCUCAAUAUAACCAAAUAUAACAGAAGGUAGGGAAUUUUUGUAAUCUAUAUUGCUACAGACCUAGUGAUGCUUUACCAGUAAUAGUUUCUUUCAAGCUUUUGAAAUGUUAUAAACUAAUUUUUUAGUAUUUUAUAAUUAAUGUAUAUUUUGAUGUCCAACUAGAAUUCUGAAAGAAUAAGGAAAAUAAGGUAAGUGGGAGCAUGUGUAUCUGUUAUGUAUGUGUGUGAAUGAGUUUUGCUUGUAUAACUGAGAUGGUUAAAAACAAAACAAAACAAAACAAAAAACAAAACAGCAGAGUCACAAGUACAGGAAAUCAUGCAGAGAUCUUAAGUAGCUUCAAUAAGUCCUGCUGCCAUGUUUCACCAGUUAUAGAUUAUGUUUCAAACCCAACAAUCAAUGGAGUACAAAUCUAAGAGGCACGAACACAUGUUAAGGUAAAAACAAAAUUGAAUUAAAUUUGUUGAUGAUCCAUGGUGUCAUCCUGGUUUAAGUCAUUAUGACCACAUAUGCUCAAGGCAAUGAAUCAGACAGAAAUAAACCAUCAAUUCUCAGCAUCUUUGUGAUGAUCUUGAUAUCAGGCUCAGUAUGAUAAUGAUUGGAUAAUUCCCUUGAAAUUGAUAUUUCGGUUGCAUAUGCAAGUGUAUUUUUUAAAUGCUGAUCUUUCCCAUGUCGCUCUGAAUUAUGCAGAAGAUUUUUUUAAUGAUGGCUACCGAUAAAAAAGGAAACAGAGUUACUGAAAUGAUUUGUGUUGGAUUCAGCCAUUUCCACUGGUACUGCCAAUCUCAUGAUGUUGCCAGUUUUCAUCGGCUCCUUUUUUUAAGAGUUAUUUUCUGAGAAGGGAGCUUGUUCAAAAAUCUGAGUUUCGGCAACCAUUUCCACUCGAUUUCUCCGAAUCUUGCCUUCAAUGGGAAGUCAUUGAAAGAACUGGAAAAAUGGCUUCAUUAAUAUUUGACUCAAGAAAUGGUAUCCUGUGCCUAUGCAACUGUCUAUGGUGGCUUAGCCUAUGUGGCAAUAGCCAUUCUAUAAUUAGUUGCCUCUUUGUGUAGUGUUUCCUUAUGUGGAGAAAAAGAGGUCCCUGGGACAGAGACAAAAAUAAGCUUACUUUCUGGUGGCCGCCAAUCAGGAUACUUCAAUUUGAAUUUCGUCAGAUGAUAAAAUUUCCACCUAGAACACUGUGGAAUUUUGAUAAAGUUCACCUUUUCUAGCAGUGCCAAAGGACAAACCAAAUCAUGGCAUGGUUAUCAGGUUGAAAGGGCUCAUACCUAUAAAAAAAAAUUAUCUUUUCACAGCAAAUUUUACAGAAACAGGAUUUUAUUGGCUAUCAGAAGAUGCUUUUCUAUGGGAAAACCUCCUUAGAGAGACAAAGUUCUUUAGAAUUGAUGGUGUAGGUUGCAGAUGCGGCUCGGAUCCCGCGUUGCUGUGGCUUUGGCAUAGGCUGGCAGCUACAGCUCCGAUUAGACCCCUAGCCUGGGAAACUCCAUAUGCCGUGGGAGUGGCCCAAGAAAUGGCAAAAACACACACAAAAAAAGAAUUGAUGGAAGGGAAAAAUCUAAUCCUGCAUUUCUGUCUGAUCGCAGAAGCCAGCACCUUCUACGGUAUAACAGCAGUUCUCUGCAUUAGCAUUGACAACCUUUCCUUGUGUUUAGGCUGGUGAAGCAAGUUUGGAGUGAAAAAUGAUUGAUUUGUGUAAAGGUUCAUGUCCACCUAUAAAAAAAGAGUGGUGAAAGUGAAGCAAAAUACUAAGAGGUUAAAAUCGGUCGUUUUAAAUAAUAUACACAUUCAAAUACAUGGUAAUUGUCCGGAUAUAACCAGAUACAACCUCACUUUUCAAAAUAAGGACUCUGAGACUUCGGAAAUCCCCAGGUUCCAAACAGUUUUCUUUGAAUGCUCCCGGAGAGUAGAAAAAGGUUUCUCUUACUGCGUUUUGGCUUAGGCCUCAUCCUUACUUACCAUGUGGUUUGAGUUUUAUGAGUGAGUUUGGUGAUCAAAUUGCUAAAACGAAACACCUCUUUUGUUUUAUUGUUUUCAUUAAAUAAGACAUCAGAACAGUGCACAUACAAGGCAAUUUCAACAUUACCUGGAGGUUAAGGUGAAUCCCUUGCCGGAAGUAAGAAAAAGCUUGUAAGCUAAAUAUGGCUACCCAAGAAAUGAAGAAAAAAAAAUUCCCAUGAUUUAUGUAGGAGAAGGUUAUCCAAGAUAAUUCACUCUAACAAAGGACAGAAUUCACAAUUCAUUAUGUUCCAAAUGUAAAUGAAAAUGAAAAAAAAAAAUGGCACCUGCAUAUUCAAGAUUAACUCAUUAAAUCUUCCUUGUGUGGGAAACUAGAGAGCUAACUCUAGAAUGUAAACAGUUAAUCCAUCACUCCUUUAACAGUUCAUUAUUGAGCAGCUUAUAUAUCAGUUAUUUAAAAGCAUUUCUGAAGCAACUGGCAUUAAGCCUUCAGAAAGAUGUGGCCCCUGCCUUCAAGGAACUUUAUUAUGCAAUCACUAAUAUUUUCAAAACAAAGCCAGUUGUUUUUAAGAAGGUAUACAAUACCACAUGUGUUUCACAUCUCUUUGUGUUUAUAUAUGGUAUUCUCUUUUUUUUUUUCAGAUCAAGUGUAUAGUCAAAAUAAGAUAUGAAAACAUAUUAAAGUGGAUGUCUAAGUAUAAAAUAUGUUUCUGUGUAAACCUCUAUAUGUACUCAUAGGAUAUGUACUGCUGUCUAUGUAAAUCAGUAAAAGGAUAACCCAUUUUGCCAUGUGGAACUUGAACAGUAUGGCUUGGGGUUUGGAUUCAUUGAAAACCCUUUGAUAUUUGGGUCAAUUACAUUGUCGCCAAAUGUGUGUCAUCUGGGAAAAACUAUAUGAUUAUAUUUCCCUUUAAAUAUUACAAAGUUUCAAGUUUAAGGGGAAAACCUCUACAGAAAUAUCGUUGGCUGUAUCUUGACCAGCCCUAUCUGAAAAUCUUUUUGAAGUUUUCCGUGGUUCCCAAAUAUGACUGGGUUUGCCCACCCUAAAAGCAUCCGCAUUUACACAUGUACACACUCACAUACAGUAUACAUACUGUAUAUAAUAUAUAUGAAAAUGUUUAGUAUGCACUUCCUUUGUUUGGAAUUCCUUCGGUUAACAUUUAUAGUGUAGCAAUUUGUGUAAAGUGCACUGUGAUUAUAACAAAAAAAGAAAGCACAGUAAAGUCACAGGUCUUGUUAUCUUGCACUAAAAAUGUGUUUACGUAUUUAGCAAUUGUAUGUUUACUUUCUUGCUCUUUUCAAGAAAUUGAAACAAAUAGCUAUUGAGAAACUGAUAUCAAAUAAUAUGUUUUUUAGUGGAUAAUGGCACUACGUUUUUAAAAGACAGGGUUUUUAAAAGAAACCAUUUAACAUCCAUUCCAGCGUAACAUGUUUACCGUAUCUAAAAAUCUGAAUGUCAUAUUGCAUUUUUUCAUAACUCAUUAAAAAUGUCAGGUAUGUGCCUGAAAAGUUGUGCAAAUAAGCAUUAGAUAACAGAUUUCUCUAUUCACGUGUUGUUAGCCAUUUCUAUAUACAUAAUAAUAUAAACACUGAUGUUUUAAUUUCUUUUAAUUUUUGUACUUGAUUUUUUUAGGUAAUAUGUAAUUAUAAAUGUACUUUGAUACUACUGAAAGUAACCAGAUGUUGUUUGAAAACAGAUUGUUUUCUUUAGUGCAUUGGCGAUAUUUUGCAAUACUUUUGUGCUUAUUUAUUUGUGCUCCCGUGUAAUUAUAAUAAAAGCAAUAGUUU